rnacentral:rRNA from 1 species
AAACGAUUGAAGCCAGUCAUGCUAGUGGGAAAUCAGCUCAUAGGCUACUGUGGGUGCACUUUCUCGCAAGGCAGGUUAACAUCGAUUUCAGUUGCAUUAUAAUGAUAGUGGGAAGGUAGCUCUCUCGGGAGUGUUAUAG